UACAGAGGGUGCAAGCGUUGUUCGGAAUUAUUGGGCGUAAAGCGCGUGUAGGCGGCUUUGCAAGUCGGGUGUGAAAGCCCUCAGCUCAACUGAGGAAGUGCGCCCGAAACUGCAGAGCUUGAGUACCGGAGAGGGUGGCGGAAUUCCCCAAGUAGAGGUGAAAUUCGUAGAUAUGGGGAGGAACACCGGUGGCGAAGGCGGCCAUCUGGACGGUCACUGACGCUGAGACGCGAAAGCGUGGGUAGCAAACAGG
rnacentral:rRNA from 1 species